rnacentral:rRNA from 1 species
UACGGAGGGGGCAAGCGUUGCUCGGAAUUAUUGGGCGUAAAGGGUAGGUAGGUGGUCUCAUUUGUCUGGGGUGAAAGCCUUGAGCUUAACUCAAGAAGUGCCCCAGAAACGGUGAGACUAGAGUCCUGGAGAGGGUCGUGGAAUUCCCGGUGUAGCGGUGAAAUGCGUAGAGAUCGGGAGGAACACCAGAGGCGAAGGCGGCGACCUGGACAGGUACUGACACUCAACUACGAAAGCGUGGGGAGCAAACAGG